rnacentral:lncRNA from 1 species
CACUCAUACACUGCUGGUGGGACUGCAAAAUAGUGCAGCCAAUAUGGAAAGCAAUAUGGAGAUUCCUUGGAAAACUUGGAAUAGAACUACCAUUUGACCCAGUGAUUCCAUUCCUUGGUGUAUAUGCAAAGGACUUAAAAACAGUAUACUAUAUGUACAUAGCCACAUUAAUGUUUAUUGCAACACAAUUCACAAUAGCAGAACCAUGGAACCAACAUAGAUGCCUGUCAGUAGAUGAAUGGAUAAAGAAAAUGGGGUAUACAUACACAAUGGAAUAUCACUCAGCAAUAAAAGAGAAUAAAACCAUGACAUUUGCAGGAAAAUUGGCGGAGUUAGAGAAUAUAAUGCUAAGUGAAGUUAGCUAAUCCUCUAAAACCAAAUGUCAAAUAUUUUCUCUGAUAUAAGGAGUGGGGUUUGAGGGGAAGCAUGGGAAGAUUAGACGAAC